GUCACAUUAUACAUUUUAGCAUAUAUUAUAUAUUACCUAGUUUUGGAUUUAAUUAUUUCUAGUUUCAUUUUUUUUGCACUACUUACCCAGUAACAAACGAAAAAUGUUUAAGAAAGUGCACUUUGUUAAAAUUAUAGUUUUCCAUAUGAGCUUGCUCUUACUAAUGCAGUUAGCUUUUCCUGGAAUAACUGAUCGGGGUCCAGUCACGUUUCCUAGACCUUCCUAAAUCUGAUUUGCCGAAUUGCUUAUUGUGAAAUGUUUUUUUUUAAUUCCUUGUACCGGUUGCAGAACAUGGAUUUGCGCACAUUCUACACCUCUAUGCUGUAUUUGAUUUAUUAUUUCAAAAUGUAUUAAAAACAUAUUUUGUGGAAGAAACAUUUCAUUAGUAAAUUCGAACAUUACUUGGA